UACGUAGGGUGCGAGCGUUUAAUCGGAAUUACUGGGCGUAAAGCGUGCGCAGGCGGUUUUGUAAGCCAGAUGUGAAAUCCCCGGGCUUAACCUGGGAAUGGCAUUUGGGACUGCAAGGCUUGAGUUUGGCAGAGGAGACUGGAAUUCCUGGUGUAGCAGUGAAAUGCGUAGAUAUCAGGAGGAAUACCGAUGGCGAAGGCAGGUCUCUGGGCUAGAACUGACGCUCAUGCACGAAAGUGUGGGGAGCAAACAGG
rnacentral:rRNA from 1 species